rnacentral:tRNA from 1 species
ACCAGUGUGUUGUAGUGGUUUAGUGUUGGAUUACUACUCUGGAGACCAGGGUUCGAUUCCCUGCUCAGCUA